CCUACGGGAGGCAGCAGUAGGGAAUUUUCGUCAAUGGGCGCAAGCCUGAACGAGCAAUGCCGCGUGAACGAGGAAGGUCCUCGGAUCGUAAAGUUCUGUUGAAGGGGAAAAAGAGCGGAGAGAGGAAAUGGUCUCCGAUUGAUAUUACCCUUCGAGGAAGUCACGGCUAACUACGUGCCAGCAGCCGCGGUAAAACGUAGGUGGCGAGCGUUCUCCGGAAUGAGUGGGCGUAAAGGGUGCGUCGGCGGCCUGCAAAGUCUGGGGUGAAAGGUACCGGCUCAACCGGUACAGGCUCUGGAAACUGGCGGGCUAGAGAGCAGGAGAGGGCGGUGGAACUCCAUGUGUAGCGGUAAAAGGCGUAGAUAUAUGGAAGAACACCAGUGGCGAAGGCGGCCGCCUGGCCUGUUACUGACGCUGAGGCACGAAAGCGUGGGGAGCAAAUAGGAUGAGAUACCCUAGUAGUC
rnacentral:rRNA from 1 species